rnacentral:rRNA from 1 species
AUAUCAAUAAGCGGAGGAAAAGAAACUAACAAGGAUUCCCUUAGUAACGGCGAGUGAAGCGGGAAAAGCUCAAAUUUAAAAUCUGGCUUGUGGCCCGAGUUGUAUUCUAUAGAAGUGUUUUCCUUUGAGUACCGAGAUAGAAGUCUUCUGGAAAGAAGCAUCAUAGAGGGUGAGAAUCCCGUCCAUGAUCUUGAGUGGCUCAAUUUUGUGAUACACUUUCUACGAGUCAGGUUGUUUGGGAAUGCAGCCUAAAAUGGGUGGUAAAUUUCAUCUAAAGCUAAAUAUUGGCGAGAGACCGAUAGCGCACAAGUA